rnacentral:rRNA from 1 species
CAAAUCCGGUACUCGUUAAGGCUGAGCUGUGAUGGGGAGAAGACAUUGUGUCUUCGAGUCGUUGAUUUCACACUGCCGAGAAAAGCCUCUAGAUAGAAAAUAGGUGCCCGUACCGCAAACCGACACAGGUAGUCAAGAUGAGAAUUCUAAGGUGAGCGAGCGAACUCUCGUUAAGGAACUCGGCAAAAUGACCCCGUAACUUCGGGAGAAGGGGUGCUCUUUAGGGUUAACGCCCAGAAGAGCCGCAGUGAAUAGGCCCAAGCGACUGUUUAUCAAAAACACAGGUCUCUGCUAAACCGUAAGGUGAUGUAUAGGGGCUGACGCCUGCCCGGUGCUGGAAGGUUAAGAGGAGUGGUUAGCUUCUGCGAAGCUACGAAUCGAAGCCCCAGUAAACGGCGGCCGUAACUAUAACGGUCCUAAGGUAGCGAAAUUCCUUGUCGGGUAAGUUCCGACCCGCACGAAAGGCGUAACGAUUUGGGCACUGUCUCAACGAGAGACUCGGUGAAAUCAUAGUACCUGUGAAGAUGCAGGUUACCCGCGACAGGACGGAAAG